UACGUAGGGGGCAAGCGUUGUCCGGAAUCAUUGGGCGUAAAGAGCGUGUAGGCGGCUCGAUAAGUCUGCUGUGAAAGUCCAGGGCUCAACCCUGGAAGGCCGGUGGAAACUGUCGGGCUAGAGUCCGGAAGAGGCGAGUGGAAUUCCCGGUGUAGCGGUGAAAUGCGCAGAUAUCGGGAGGAACACCAAUGGCGAAGGCAGCUCGCUGGGACGGUACUGACGCUGAGACGCGAAAGCGUGGGGAGCAAAUGGG
rnacentral:rRNA from 1 species